UUCCAUAUAGGCAUGUACUAAGUAAUCGAGGAAAAGAUACUAAUCUCCGAAUUCCCCUAGUAAGCGGCGAUCGAUGCGGGCAAAGCCAUUUGGAAAGCCAGCUUGACGACGUAGUAGCUUGAGCAGCCUCAGCUGUCAGUCUGCGAAAGCAGCUUGGAUAUGUCCACCGUGGCACGGUGAAGAGUGCCGUUCAUCCUCAGUCAGAGCAGUUGAUAAGUCGCCGUUUCAGUCGAGUCGCAUUAAAUUGGGAAAGAAUGGUCUAAAAGGGUGGUAAAUCUCCAUAGAGGGCUAAUAUAUUUGGUAUGAAACCGAUAGCGCACAAGUACCCUGAGGGAUAGCUGGAGAGCACUUUGAGAGGAGGCCGACAAGCACAUGAUACGGUUACGAGUGAAGCGCAUUGCAUAGAGUUGAUGGGUGUUUGUGCUUUCAGCCGGAGAUAUUUUUUUUGGCGGACUGGUGCAGACACUUACCCGUAGUGAGUUAUUGUUUGCCGUACCACGGGUGUGACGAGGACUGUGGCAUCCCGUAUAUUGGGUGAGGACGAUGGGGCAGCGGUGCGAUACGCCCAGUCUUGAAACACGAUUCAAGGAGUCUAGCGGUGCUAGGAGUAGAAGGGCCGUUUAAUCGCAGUAGGGGCAGAGAAAGUGAAUUACCAUACGAAAUUGUGCUAAUUUGAGGGGGCAUGAGGUCGUUGACCAGAAAGUCCCACCUGGAGCAGUCCGCUAGGACCCGAAAGAUGGUGAGCCAAGAACGAGUAGGGGGAAACCGUAAGAAACUGUGCUGCAGAAUAGAAUUGGUGGGGAGAAAGAACAAACUCCCAUCAACUGGGUGCAGUGGGGAUAGAUUGAUACAGCCUCAUGGUAGUGUCUUCCCCCCGAAGUUUUUCUCUUCACAUUUCCCUCACAGGACGUUGUUUUUUUCGGUUUAGUGACAGAUUAGAGCAUUUGGGGGCGUGCACCCCUCUGGCGAUUCUCAUACUCUAAAAGCGCAAGCUGGCGCCGCUGGUUAAUUGAGCAACUUUAGCGAGAGAAAACGUCAGCCCCUUGGGCCACUUUUGGUAAGCAGAACAGGCGAUGCGGGAUGAACCGCAAGCGCAGUUAAGGCGAAAAAUAGUCCGCUCAUAGAUCCCACAAAAGGCGUUGCUUCAUCGAGACAGCAGACGGUGUCAUGGAAGUUCGGAUUCCGCUUAGGAAGUGGAACACUCACCUGCCGAAUGAGGUAGCCCUGAAAAUGGAUGACGCUUAAGCGGGCAGCCGAUACUACGCCGUCGAUUUUAGUGAAAAACAAAUCGAUGAGUAGGGGGGCGUGGUGGUCGUGUCGAAGCAUUGCGUGCGAACGCGUGUGAAACGGCCACUAGUGCAGAUCUUGGUGGUAGUAGCAAAUAUUCAAGUGAGAACCUUGAAGGGCGAAGCGGGGAAGGGUUCCAUGCGAACAUUGAUUGGGCAUGGGUGAGUCGUCCCUAAGCCGAGUGGCCAUUGCUUACUCAGGCGGCGAAAGGGAAGCGGGUUGAAAUUCCCGCACACGGAUGUGGAACAAGGCGGUGACGCAAAUUACUGGGGCGGUGACGUUGGCAGUGGCGCUGGGCAGAGUUUUCUUUUCUGUUUAACCGCCUGACGCUUGCUCUGUGGAAUCCGAUUGUCGGGAGAAACAGGCAAGGCACGGGUAGAGCGCCGGGCUUUUUCCGGCGUCCAGCUCGCCGCUGACGACCCUUGAAAAACUGUCCUCAGGUAUUAAAAAUCCACGCCGUGGCGUACCGAUAACCGCAUCAGGUCCCCAAGGUGAACAGCCUCUGCUCGAUAUGAAAAAUGCAGGUAAGGGAAGUCGGCAAAUUAGACCCGUAACUUUGGGAAAAGGGUUGGCUCUAGUGCUGCGUGAGGCCUGGUCGGUGGCUGUGCUGUUGUUUGGUGGCGAACGUUGCCUUGAGCGUUUUUCGCAAGGAGGAUGUUCGGCAAUGUAGCUCUGGACAACCGCGGCCGGCGACGCUCACAGCAUGCAGCAAACUAGAACUGCAACGGGCAAGGGGAAUCCGACUGUUUAAUUAAAACAAGCAUUGCGAGGCCGGGGACGGUGAUUACGCAAUGUGAUUUCUGCUCAGUGCUCUGAAUGUCAAAGUGAAGAGAUUCAAUCAAGCGCGGGUAAACAGCGGGAGUAACUAUGACUCUCUUAAGGUAGCCAAAUGCCUCGUCAUCUAAUUAGUGACGCGCAUGAAUGGAUUAACGAGAUUCCUACUGUCCCUAUCUGCUUCUAGCGAAACCACAGCCAGGGGAACGGGCCUGGAAAAAUCGGCGGGGAAAGAAGACCCUGUUGAGCUUGACUCUAUUCUAAUUUUGUGGAGCAAGUUGGGAGGUGUAGCAUAGGUGGGAGACUUUACGUCGCCAGUGAAAUACCACUACUCCCAAUCUUGCUUUACUUACUAGGCAGGUGUGGAUGGGGUCAGUUUUCUGAUUCUUUUUUUGGAGCCAAGCCGGUUUUUUCUUCGGGAAAGACCAUAGGUGACCACCGCCUAGGACAGAUUUAGGAGGGGAGUUUGGCUGGGGCGGUACAUCUUCUACAAGACAACGAAGGUGUCCUAAGAUCAGCUCAGUGAGAACAGAAAUCUCACGUAGCGCAAAAGGGUAAAAGCUGGUUUGAUUUCGAUUUUCAGUGCGAGUCGAAAACGCGAAAGCGUGGCCUAUCGAUCCUUUCACGAUUCGAGAUUUGAAGCGAGAGGUGUCAGAAAAGUUACCACAGGGAUAACUGGCUUGUGGCGGCCAAGCGUUCAUAGCGACGUCGCUUUUUGAUCCUUCGAUGUCGGUCUUUUCCUAUCAA
rnacentral:rRNA from 1 species